GAAAAAGAUCAUCUUGUAAUGAAAGUAGGUGGAGCUGAGCUGAAGAAGCAAGAAACAGGAAGCAGGAGAGCAGACAUCUUGCAAGAGACUUUGUGCAAACUUAAUCUGCUUGCAUCCAGGGUGUCAGUGCCUCCUAGAGCUUCAGGAACGGCAGCUUAGUAAUCACCGUCCAGUACAGAUCCUGUCCGGAGGAAAAGGAAUUGUUUUUCAGGAAUGCUUAUAGGAGCUGAGGAACAGAGAACUACCUCACCUGCAGUACCUCAUAGUUGCUGAAAGGAUUUGUUGUUGUUCAGUUGGAAGGCAUCAUCGGAUACAGAUCAAGACCCGGUGGAAUUUCCUGGGAGUGCUGCCAGGGGCCAAUAUGUAUAAGAAGUUUCCUCUGCAACCAGUCCUGACAAUGAAACAGAAGAGAACAUGGGCACCCUGGUGAGCAGGGUUCAGGGGCUGUGUAGAAGGACACACCUAAGGGAAGCUGCUAUAGUAAUGAUUGGACUUGAUGGAAGUGGCAAAACCACAAUUCUGUACAGACUAAAGCUGAAUGAAACCGUGAAAACUAUCCCAACAGUUGGUUUCAAUAGAGAGACCUUGGACAUAUUUGAGGACUUCUCUCUUCUGGUAUGGGAUGUUAGUUUAGGGGCCAUGGGAUGGCCCUUAAAAAGACAUUUUCUGGAGGGUUGCCAAGGCUUUUUGUUUGUAGUGGACAGUAAGGACACUGAGAUUUUUGGAGAAGUCCAGGAAAAGCUUCAAUACACAGUACAUUUCUUGGACACACAGGACUUGCCUUUCAUUGUACUGGCCAAUAAGCAGGAUCUAGACGGGGCUUGUAGCCCUUCCGAACUUGUGCUUCAUCUUAAUCUUGAUAAAUUUACAACCAAAAAGUGGGAUGUAUUUGGUUGCUCUGGCAUCACAGGAGAAGGUCUUCAUGAAGCUAUGGAGAAACUGUGUAAAAUGAUAAAAGAAAAUGAAGAGCACUGAGGAAAUAGUCUUCUAUACUGGCCUUCAAUCCAGUCAGAGGUCCAAUGUUAACAUGAUGUGGAGUAACAGAGGCCAUCCAACAUAUAUAACCACAUGAAGAACCUGCCUGCUGCACAGCAGUCAAGAAGUCGCCGUGUAACAGCCAUCACAAAGCAAGCCACCCUGGAGCAGAACUAAUACCAGUCAGAAGCAGUGUUAUUGAAGAAUACUUGGGGUAUUGGCAUGGCAGUGGGGUAUUGGUCUAGGUCUGUGUAAGGUGUGGAGGAGACCUCCUGGAUACUUCUGAGAUUGUUCCAUGUUUAUUAUACUGUGAUGUGCCACGUGUGAAUUGUGUUGGUGGGUUUCUUUUGACCAUUAGGGAUCCAGAGCUGGAUACCAGUUACUGCUGCUACUGGAGUAAUGCCUUAUACUCUGCCAUUAAGGAAGGUCUGUCACCAUAAACAUGAGUGCUAAACCAAGCACAAUGCCUGGUCUUAUUCACUGUUAUAAAACCAUACUUUUUAUUAGUUGAUCAUUGCAGAGAAACAUUUUUUACACUGAUGGUGGGCCUGAGAUCAAUGCCUCACUUUGCUUUGCAGCUGAUUGAUAGGAUUGUUCGUUACAGCCUUAGUGCAUGCGCAGUACAGCACAUUGUUGCUGACAGGCAAAAAUGUUCUAUAGAGUGCAUGCUCCAAUGUUGAACCAAAUAGUGCAGGUGCGAGAUUAUACAUCCAGGCAAGAUGAUGAUUCUACAGUCUGCUCCUGUGAAUCAGCCUUGAGUGGGAGGGGCUGCAAAGCAAAGGAGCAGAACUAGGGUGCACAGAGGCACCAAUGCCCAUCAUUAGUAUAUUCCAAUACAUGCCUGCAGGUGGCAGCACUGCUUUUUAAUAUGCUGAAUGUUGAAUUCUGUGAUGGAUAAAUAUCCAUUACAGCAUACAAUUAUGUAAUUAUAUAGUCACCUAGGGUAACUUAAAAAAGUAAAAAAAGUUUUAAGCAGAUUUGAAAAAAUAUACAAAAGUUCAAAUUACCCCUCUUUCCCUAAAAUUAAUCAGCGUUAUGGAUUCAGUUUUUGUUUUCCGUUAUAACAUGGUUAUAACAGAAAAUAAUGGAAUCCAUAAGACGGAAGUCAAAACGGAAGCCUUCCCGUUAUGCAAGACGGAAAACAUA